AGUGAUUCAGGACAGCUCACGAGGGGCUGUUGCGGAUAAAAAAAAAAAAAAACCCUUGGCAGAGUGAGUGGACCAGAGCCGCACCGUGUGGCAUCGGAGACCGCGUGCCAAGUGCAGGGUGCAUUUGCAAAGUCGUUUCUUUCAUUAAUUCCAUUUUACAGAUGAGGAAAUUGAGGGCAGGUAAUUUGCCCAAGGUACCAGUGCAAGUACACGCUGGACCACUAUUUGAACCAGGGCCGUCCAAGUCCCCGUGUCACCAAGAUUCAAAGGAAAACUGGCCCACUUUGAGCUGCCAGACACAGAAACUUCCCUGAAGAUAUGGCUCUUGCUCUAUGGAAAAUAUGUCAGGCUGACUCAGUUUCUCUAGCGCAAGUGAAAACGAGCUGGUUAGAACAGACCGGUUUAAAGCAAGUGCACAAUUCUUCACCUUCAGGUGAGCUAGCAGCUGAAUUUCCCCACCAGCUGGGCCUUAAAGGGCAAACAACGCUCAGGGCAGAAGGCAUCAUGAAGCGAUCUUGGACAACGUCUGUGCUAUACAUCUCACAUCAUCUUCAGAGCAACCUUUGAAGGAGGGGCUGUUGUUACCCCUGUUUUACAGAUGAGGAAACACAGGCUCUUAGAUAUUAAGUAACCAGCCAAGAAGAUACAGCUAGUAAAUGAUGGAGCAGAAUUCAAAUCCAAGCCCCCCUGACACCAUGGUUCACACCCGUAAUCACUGCACCCUACUUGUACAACUCAUGUGGAGUGGCUCCAGCAUGAAUUUGGAGUUUGGGAGCUGGAUAGCCCCAGAGUCACAUUCUCGCUUUAUUACUCAGUUGGACCGUGUAACCAACCUUUCUAAACGUUGGUCUCUUCAUCUGCAAAAGCCCAGUUGACUCUUUUGACUCCAUUGACUCCUGGUCCUUCAGAUUCCUUGGAUUUCAGAAUCAUUCAGAAUGUUGCUUGAGAAACACUUCUGCCAUCCUAGCCUGGCCCCAAGCCCAUUUCUCAGUGAAAGAGCUCCGUCUGCUAGCUCAUGUGGGAGCAGCCAUCUACACUGGCUCUCAGGACUAUAGAAGUCUUCACCCGAAGAGGCCCACUUUGACCACUGGACCUUGAAGCAGUUAAAGUAAAAACAGGAAACGCACGCUAUUCCAAAGGAGGCAAGAUCCCUUCUCAGUGACUUUUCUUCGUAUCAGGCAUCCCAAACCACUGGGCUAUCCAGAAAAUAGGACUGUCAGGAUGUGACUGAAGCUUGUCUGACCAGACCAAUUGUCUGGCCCUGGAACAAUGCUUCCAUCUCAUUCUGGGGGUGGCCAUCAUGAGACAGUCUAUCACACAUGGUAUCACACAAUGAUUCCCUGCUACACGCAGAAAGCCACAACCGAAUUCCAUGAUCUAAACUCCAUGAUCCAUACUAGGUGUCAGAUAUUUUAUGGUCAUGCUUCCACUUAUUUUCACAAUAAAAUUAAGGUAGAUGAUUAUCCCCAUUUAACAGAUAAGAAAAUCAAGGCUCGGAGACAGGUAAAGUCAUUUGCUCAAGGGUCAUGUAACAAAUGAGUGGGAGAACCUGAAUUUCUGAUUCAAAGUUCAUGCUCACAUCCCAACCCUCUAAGUAUUCAAUCAUGGAUCUCUUCUCACACACACGCACACACACACACACACACACACACACAAUUAUAUACUCCUCAAGAGCUGGAAUUUAUUUCCUGUUCAUCAUUCCCAUAACACAGGGACUGACCCUUAGCGAAAUGGUCAGCAUAUUUUGCAAAAUGGCGAUCCUGAUACUAUUGCAUUAGUGUUUAUAAUUUAUAUAUACUAAUAAUUAAUAGAUUCAUAUAAACAUGCAUGGCCAUAACACUCCACUGUUGGCUUUCCUAUUUCCCUGCCACUGGUCAUUUGGACUACUUCUAAUUUUCAGUUUUACUGUCCAUACAGUAACUUGCUUUUACUAGAACAUGGCGUGGAGGGAGUAGAGAGUAGAAGAUGACGUAAUAAAGGAAAAAUAACCCUGACAUCUUUCAUGGGACCAUUCAGAGGGAAUCCAAUUUAAAGUACAGACUAAUUACACAAAUAGAGAAAGAAUUCUGGGCUUAGAUAAAUAAAAUUGCCAGGCUUUCUAGUAAUCUUCAAUACCACAAGUUUCAUUAGAAAGCAGAUGUGUUUAUUAUAUUGUAAAAUACCCAAUACUAUCCUCUCGUUAGCAAGAUUCAAAAUGUUUUCAAAACUGAAUACUGGUGUACAAAACAAAGCGUCAAAAUUCUAUAAGGAAAAAAUAUGUGGCCUAUCUUUUAGCACACUGAAUUUGGUUGUCAUGUGCCAGAAGUAUUAAAUAUAUAU